UGUUCCAGCACCUUUCCUCUUAACGGGGAAGGGAUAACAACUCUCACUCUCCCCAUGAUACACCCAUCUGAUACAGACAGCUCCCACAUCCUGGAUAGGUAAGGGUGUAAUUCUGGGCAGUUUCUAUGACAAAUCCUUCCUCUCAGGACCAAGUCCAUCAUUUGGCUCAAAACUGAGUAGUGCUGCGCACCUGCCUCACUAUCACUAACACUGCCGUACCUUGUCUUUCUGGGAAAAGUAUAUAAUUUUCAGGAACAACUGUGUCCCCUGGUGGUGACAACCUUCACAGGGCAUCUGUACAGCUGUGCUUCUCUGCCUGUUACUAACAGAUUUCCUGAAGAUUGCCGACAGAUCCAGUGUCAAUAUCUGCAUGUGUACUGUCACUAUCGAUGGCAUCCCCAUAUAUGGUCAAAAAUGAAGCUUAAAGGUCUGUGGUUGGUCAGCAGCACAAAGCGCCUGCCCUAAAGGAACUGGGUGAACUUCUUAAUACUAACCCAAUGUUCAAUCCUUCCCUUUCCACUUGGGCAUAUUUCUCCUCCAUCUUUAUUAGUGACCUGGAUGUGAAAACAAUGGGCCUUUCCUCUCCAUUCAGCAGGAUGUGUGACAGUGCAGCCCCAACUGCAUAGGACGAGGCCUCACACACCAAGUGCAGUGGCAGCUGCAGGUGAAAAGGAGUCAACCUUUCCAACCUUUAAGGGCUUGCUUCACCUGGUGAGCCUCCUCACAUUCCUAGAUCCAUUUUCACUGCUGCCUUUUGCUCAGCCACUAAUGCAGGGCUUUCAGCACAGUUGCCAGAUCGAUAUGAACUUGCCAUAAUAAUUCACAAGGCUCAAGAACGAUCUCAGUUGAGACAUAUUCUCUGAUCCAGAAGAUUUCAUGAUAGCCUCCAUCUUCUUGGGUGCCUUGUGUAAUCCCUCACCUUUGAUUACAUGACCCAGGUACUCAAUACAGUCCCAAAAAAACCUUACAUUUCUCCCUUUUAACCUGUAGGCUACUAGGCUUCUGCAAUCUUUUUAGGGUUUCUUCUGGGUUUCUCAAAUGCUUCUCUUCAGAGGAUUCAGUAAUCAAAAUAUUGUCCACAUAACACUAGACGCCUGGCAACUCCUUCACAAUUUGGUCCAUGGCCCUCUGGAAUAGAACUGGCACUGACACGAUGCCAAACGAAACCCCUCAUAACCAUACAGCCUCCUAUGGGUCACUAUCGUCAGCAUCAGCUUGAACUUCUUCAUGAACCCCUUCUGUAGGUAGGCCUGCAACAGAUCCAUUUUUGAGAAUUUCUUUCCCCCAGCCAGUCAACUGAACAGAUCCUCAAUGAGUGGAAGUGGGUAUUGAUCUGCACUCAGGACUGAGUUGACUGUGACCUUAGUCACCACAAUCCUGACUGCACCAUCUGUUUGUAAGACCAGAAUGAUGGGAGGGGCCUAUUCACUGAUGAUACUGGUCCCAAGUUCUCCAGCCAUUUCAGUUCCACCUCACUCCACAGGUGGCAUACUGGACUGUAUAAAACCUCAAUUAAGUCUCUGGCUUCAGCUGCAGUUUAGUUUUGACUCCUUUCAUUUCCCUGGGGUUUCCUUGAAGACAUCUUUAGGAGCUCUGGCAAACUCAUGCCUGAGUCUGCCAGCCCAUUAACCACAUGUAGUUCAACUUUAUUUUCUGUAACCAGGAGUCUCUGGAUGAUGAAAGUUCAGAAUCAACUGGAGAAAGAAAAUGCCAAAACAAGCUAAACUUUGGACACAAGCUUUUAAUCUCAGGUUUGAGGACAAAGAGAAAAGAGAGAAGAAUUGAACAUUGCGACUGCCAAAUGGAGCCCAGGACAGUAUUGCCAUCACCCAGGAAAACUAGUCUUGCUAAAUCAUAUCAACAGAAGCUACAAAAUAAAUCAGUUUACCGAAUCCUUCUAUGGGUAGUUCACCUAUAACACAGUAGUUGCAUUGCCAUGUGACACUGUGUUGUAGAGAAUCACACAAUGUAAAUAAUGGGACCUAUGAGAAAAACAAGGUUGGGGUGAAUCACCAGAAAUACCAGUAAAAAUCAAAAUAAAGAUAGGAGUUACCCAAUGAUAGCACAGUCUAAGUAAACCUUUAAAUCAAUUAUUUUAAUGAAAUAAUACAGUAAAUGUAACACUUUAACACUAAAAUCACUGACUAUAGCACUGUACCUUCCAUGAAGCUCUUCACCAGAAAGUGUAUGAGCCGACUGACCAUGUGAUGCUGUGGCGGAAUGUCCAGUCCUCAUCACGAUUCUCCCUGUUUGAAAUAUAGUUCCUUCUAAAUGUAGAUGACAUUCCCAGUUUCGGGCUAAGUUUCAAGACUUGCAGAGCUGAUUGCAUUCCUGCUUUAGCUGAAUACACUGAAUUUCCAUUUUGCAGAGAGAGGAUCCUCAGGCUGGGUUUUACCGUACACUGGUGCUGGGGAUGGAAACGCGUAACAGCGAACGGGAGUUUGCUUUAUUAAAAAAAGGUUCACAAUUCACAAAUCGCAUUACAACCAAAUCACGUUUAAUAAACGUGUGUUAUCGGAGAACUACAUGUACCUCAAGAAUAUAAAAAUGCUUUUCAUUGUGUAUUGUCUUGUUACAUUUUUUAUAAGAGGCAUUGAGUCUUGGUAUCA